UUUUCUUAUACUAUAUGCAAUAGGUCUACUAUAUUUGGUGUAUGGACUGAUUGUAAGGUGUACAUGUCUAGCUGACAGGUGUUAUCUGACCUUGAACUCAUUUUCAUGGUUUAGUGGUCAAAGUUAAGUUUUUGAGUACUGGUAUAUUUUUCUAAUACUUUAUGCAUUAGGUCAACCAUAUGUGGUGUAUGAAAAUAUUUUAUGAUCUAUAUGUCUGUUAGGAAGGUUUUUUGGACCUUGGCCGCAUUUUCACGGUCCAUUGCUAAGUGUUAAGUGUUUGUGUUUUGGUCUGUUUUUCUUAAUUUAUAAGCAAUAAGUCAACUAUAUUUGUUGUAUUGAAGAAUUGUUAGCUGUUCAUGUCUGCUUGGCAUGGUUCAUCUGACCUUGACCUCAUGCUCAUGGUUCAUUGAUCAAUGUUUCGUUUUCUUGGUUAAUGUUGAGUUUAUGUGACAGUUGUAAUAAAGCUUUAUAUUUAGGCCUAUGAACAUAAUAUCAAUGAUUAGUAAAAAAGGCGAGACAUUUCAGUGUGUGCACUCUUGUGUACACUGUAUCGUAUAUAAAUAUUCGCCUGAAAUGGACUUAUAAUAAACAAUAAAUUAGUCGAUUUACUAGUAUAUUUUCAUUUAAUAUAUCUGAAUUAUCUGUCGUCAAAUUGUGUUUUAUUUCAAUGUACACGGUCCGCUGACAUGAAAGUUUAACGAUACUCGACCGUUGUGAUGGUAUGUCGGACCAUAGAUGUAAUAGCUAUUAUAUAUAUGGUCGGACGAGUUUCUUUUUCUCUUUUUUUCUAUCAUGCUUGCAUUUACCAAUGACAAACGAAAGGAGAAGCAGUUUGUAGAACGCACUUUUGCCCUCCCUUCAUUGGCUUUUGCUUUUUCAUGUGCAUGUACAUGAAAUAUUUGCCACUGAACG
rnacentral:lncRNA from 1 species